rnacentral:miRNA from 1 species
GCAGACACAUUCCAGCCAAUCAGCAGCAGACCCUCCCUCCCAGACCCUCCCACCUCCUGGACAGCAUCCAUUCAUUGUGAAGCUGCAUUCUUAGUGAACUGUCCAGGAGGUGGGAGGGUCUGGGAGGGAGGGUCUGCUGCUGAUUGGCUGGAAUGUGUCUG